UCCGGGUGAUUCGGCGUCACCUGUAACCUGAAAUCGUCGGCAUGCAGGGGACGAAGCCUGAUGAAGGCGCUCUGGCUGUAUGAAGGCCUCAAUCCUGGACGUUGAAAGCCCGUCCUGCUUGGUUAGCGGUGGCGCUGUGCCAUGCUGGAGAGCAUGGCGCUCGCCUUAAUUGCGGGGACCGGCACAGGCCCGGAAGGGAGCAUGCUUACCGUGAACAACUGACGCUUGCAGGGUAGCGGGCUGGAGGAAAGGGCUGA
rnacentral:SRP_RNA from 1 species